GCUGGGUGUGGUGGUGCACACCUGUAAUCCCAGUGACUCGGGAGGCUGAGACAGGAGGAUCAAAAGUCUGAGGCCAGCCUCAGCAACUUAGAGAGGGCCUCAGCCACUUAGUGAGGCUGUCUUAA
rnacentral:sRNA from 1 species